UGCCAGCCGCCGCGGUAAUACAGAGGGUGCGAGCGUUAAUCGGAAUUACUGGGCGUAAAGCGUGCGUAGGUGGCAUAGUAAGUCAGAUGUGAAAACCCAGGGCUCAACCUUGGACUUGCAUUUGAAACUACUAAGCUAGAGUUUGGGAGAGGAGAGUGGAAUUUCCGGUGUAGCGGUGAAAUGCGUAGAUAUCGGAAGGAACACCAGUGGCGAAGGCGGCUCUCUGGACCAACACUGACACUGAGGUACGAAAGCGUGGGGAGCGAACAGGAUUAGAUA
rnacentral:rRNA from 1 species